GAUGAAGAACGUAGCGAAAUGCGAUACGAAGUGUGAAUUGCAGAAUUCAGUGAAUCAUCGAAUCUUUGAACGCACAUUGCACCUCUCGGUAUUCCGGGAGGUAUGCCUGUUCGAGCGUCAUUUGUACCCUCAAGCUCUGCUUGGUGUUGGGUGUUUGUUCCGCCUCUGUGUGUGAACUCGCCUCAAAACAAUUGGCAGCCGGCGUACUUGUUUCGGAGCGCAGCACAUUUUGCGAUCCAGAUCAACGUACAGCGGCAUCCAAGAAGCCUUAUUUAACGCUCUUGACCUCGGAUCAGGUAGGGAUACCCGCUGAACUUAAGCAUAUCAAUAAGCGGAGGA
rnacentral:misc_RNA from 1 species